rnacentral:tRNA from 1 species
ACUCCGAUAGCUUAUCUCUGAGAGCAUAACGCUGAAGACGUUAAGGUGGCAAUUAUGCCUCUGAGUA